UUCUAUUCGUCGCAAGAUAUACAGCCAAUUUAUUUGUUAUCCCGUUCGCGAGUUAUACUUUACACACUCUCUAUAAGAAUUCGUUCGAUCCGGAGGAUGAGCGUCUGGACCAAAUACGAAGAACAGGCGAGCGAAAACCAGGGCCUAAAACGCUGCGACUGUACAACCGAUGAUAACACAAGGAUCCAGGACAUCCACAGCGGGUACCCAGCGACGAUGUUUUAUUGGCCUGGUGAGCACAGCUGGUCGGCAGAAGUAUACGAGCGGCCGUGUGGCGUAUAGAUAGUUUCGGAAAAAAGGACCGAACGUUGAUUCGUAUUACAACGAUAUAUUGAG
rnacentral:misc_RNA from 1 species